AACAAACGCUGGCGGCGUGCCUAAUACAUGCAAGUCGAACGGGGAAAGCUUUCGGGUGAGUACUAGUGGCGCACGGGUGAGUAACGCGUGGAUAAUCUGCCUUAGAGUAGGGGAUAACUAGUCUAAAGAUUAGCUAAUACCGCAUAAGACCACAAGAACUGCGGUUCAAGAGGUCAAAGGUUUUUCGCUCUAAGAUGAGUCCGCGUAAGAUUAGCUAGUUGGUGAGGUAACGGCUCACCAAGGCAACGAUCUUUAACUGGUCUGAGAGGAUGAUCAGUCACACUGGAACUGAGACACGGUCCAGGCUCCUACGGGAGGCAGCAGUAGGGAAUAUUGCACAAUGGAGGAAACUCUGAUGCAGCGACGCCGCGUGAGUGAUGAAGGCCUUCGGGUCGUAAAGCUCUGUCGCAGGGGAAUAACACAAUGAAUGUACCCUGUAAGAAAGGAUCGGCUAACUUCGUGCCAGCCGCCGCCGUAACAC
rnacentral:rRNA from 1 species